rnacentral:rRNA from 1 species
CCUACGGGAGGCAGCAGUGGGGAAUAUUGGACAAUGGGCGAGAGUCUGAACCAGCCAAGUCGCGUGAAGGAUGACUUCCCUCGGGAUGGUAAACUUCUUUUAUAUGGGAGUAAAAUAUUCCACGUGUGGGAUUUUGUAUGUACCAUAUGAAUAAGGCUCGGCUAACUCCGUGCCAGCAGCCGCGGUAAUACGGAGGCUCCGAGCGUUAUCCGGAUUUAUUGGGUUUAAAGGGAGCGUAGGUGGAUGGUUAAGUCAGUUGUGAAAGUUUGGGGCUCAACCGUAAAAUUGCAGUUGAAACUGGCAGGCUUGAGUACAGUAGAGGUGGGCGGAAUUCGUGGUGUAGCGGUGAAAUGCUUAGAUAUUACGAAGAACUCCGAUGGCGAAGGCAGCUCACUGGACUGCAACUGACACUGAGGCUCGAAAGUGUGGGUAUCAAACAGGAUUAGAUACCCGAGUAAUC